rnacentral:rRNA from 1 species
AUUGAACGCUGGCGGCAGGCCUAACACAUGCAAGUCGAGCGGAUGAAGGGUGCUUGCUCCUGGAUUCAGCGUCGGACGGGUGAGUAAUGCCUAGGAAUCUGCCUGGUAGUGCGGUAUAACGUCCUGAAACGGGCGCUAAUACCGCAUACGUCCUGAGGGAGCAAGUGGGGGAUCUUCGGACCUCACGCUAUCAGAUGAGCCUAGGUCGGAUUAGCUAGCUGGUGGGGUAAAGGCCUACCAAGGCGACGAUCCGUAACUGGUCUGAGAGGAUGAUCAGUCACACUGGAACUGAGACACGGUCCAGACUCCUACGGGAGGCAGCAGUGGGGAAUAUUGGACAAUGGGCGAAAGCCUGAUCCAGCCAUGCCGAGUGUGUGAAGAAGGUCUUCGGAUUGGAAAGCACGUUAAGUUGGGAGGAAGGGCAGUAAGUUAAUACCUUGCUGUUGUGACGUUACCAACAGAAUAAGCACCGGCUAACUUCGUG